rnacentral:rRNA from 1 species
GACGAACGCUGGCGGCGUGCUUAACACAUGCAAGUCGAGCGGUAAGGCCUUUCGGGGUACCCGAGCGGCGAACGGGUGAGUAACACGUGGGUGACCUGCCCUGCACUUCGGGAUAAGCCUGGGAAACUGGGUCUAAUACCGGAUAUGACCUCCUAUCGCAUGGUGGGUGGUAGAAAGAUUUAUCGGUGCAGGAUGGGCCCGCGGCCUAUCAGCUUGUUGGUGGGGUAAUGGCCUACCAAGGCGACGACGGGUAGCCGACCUGAGAGGGUGACCGGCCACACUGGGACUGAGACACGGCCCAGACUCCUACGGGAGGCAGCAGUGGGGAAUAUUGCACAAUGGGCGAAAGCCUGAUGCAGCGACGCCGCGUGAGGGAUGACGGCCUUCGGGUUGUAAACCUCUUUCAGCAGGGACGAAGCGCAAGUGACGGUACCUGCAGAAGAAGCACCGGCUAACUACGUG